UCUGUUUGUACUUAAGAGGCAGCAGUAUUUGACAGAAAAUAAUAAUACUUUGAUGCUCUUCUCACGCCUACAAGCGAAGACGGCGUGAUUAACAACACAGCGUAAUGCGCAACGGUGAACGCCAACGAACUCCACCACCAACCUGGACGAAGCAUUUUGGACUGAAGCUGCCUCGAUAUCUACAAUACAUUGGAUACUACGUGCAGGAUAAUGAAUGGCUACCUGAACGCUGCUUGAAGCGGCAAGCUCUACAGUAUCACUUAUGCUCCUUUCCAUGGGUUGGCAAGAGGAACCGUGGCACGCAGCUCCACAGUCACCUGUGCUCUUCACUACCUUCGGAGAAGAUGCAUUGGAUGCUCCCUAUCAUGCACUGCCAUCUCAACAGUACCAUGGCUUUUUGUGUGGAUUCCUUCCAUUUUGAAUGCCACCACUGCUUGCACAGCAUCACAGCCUGCCUGUCUUGAUCUUGCGGAAGAAGAAAAUACAAAAUGCCUAUUUUUUUAAAUGCGUGCAUGGCUCCACGCAAGACACCACCUGGCGUCGGGGUGUUAGGGCUUUUUGCAGAGAAAAUGUUUGUAAUAAUGCCUUGUGUGUGCCCUAGUGGCUAAAUGUUGGCCUCUUUGCCUGUGUAAAAAUUUCACACUUAUGGAUACUGUUAAGGGUUCCUGUAUUAUUGUUAUUACUUAGUUUCCUGUUCAGGAUUCCUGUAUUGGAAAUUUUUGUUUCAUUAUAAAACUAAAAAUUAUAGUUGAAUUGCUGCUUUGUGCGAUAUGCAAUAUUCAGCCGAAGGUGGUCAGCAGAGGUCGAACAAGCGUUAUAUCAGGUGGAGAAAUUUUUUUGAGCAGGGGACUUCUUCGUUAGGGUAACAACUGUUUUCCUUGGCAUUAUUUAUAUAGUUCACUUUUCUCCACUUCAUGGAUAUCCAUCAAAAUGACUGAGUGCAUAGGGAGGGUGAGGCAAGUUUAAAUGCUCAACAUGGGGAUUUAGUUAGGAUAGCAAGGUGUGUAGAAGUAGGGGAGUUUGGGAGGUUGCUGACACCGAUUUCUAUGAGUGAUCUUGUUGUUUGUGUCAAUGUCGGUUAUAUAAUGCGAGGCGUCUUCUGAGGCAAGAAACUUUGAAAAAGCUCCUUAUAGCUGUGGAAAUUCAGUACGUGCCCCCUGGGGCUACCAUGGGUGUGUCACUGUGGCCAUUGGUUAUCACUUGGGGCCACUGGGUAGAUGCAGCUCUUCACCGAACUUUUUUGACACAAACUUGUGUAUGUACACUGGGUGUGUGCCACUGCAUGUGUG